UUAAGAAGAAGAAGAUGUUCGAAUGGCAGCAUUAAAUCGGUUUCAACUUCACGUUGUCAAAGGCAGCACUCUGAAAAAGUGUUUGUAUGGCAGCAUGCUGGCGUCGCAUAUAAUUCGUUUGCCGCUUUUAAUUUGAUUGUUGACUUUUGUGAGAAAUGAGUUCUUCAACAGAAUCGGAUGAGAGUAUUUCAAAGAGCCGCAAAUAUAGUAAACAAAAGUUUACAAAUAAGUGGCUAGGAGACGAAAGUUUCAAGGGUUGGUUACAAGCUUUGGCCGGUGAGUCGUUUAAAUGCAAAUGCGCUGCCUGCAACAAAAUUUUAAAUUGCGGCAAGUCUGAUUUAUUGAAACACGCAGAAACAAAAGCACACCAGAAAAAUGUAAAAGCCAUAAGCAAAACGAGCAAAUUGAAUACUUUUUUUUUAAGAGAAACGUAAAUGCGGAAAGGGAUAUAGAUAAAAAAAAAUUUUGAAAUAAGACAGCAUGUUUUUCGCUGAACACAAUGUCGCUUUGGCAGUGGUAGAUCACCUAAUCCCACUUUUGAAAGAAAUAGUGCCGGAUUCUGAAAUUAUAAAAAAUGUUGAUCUUGGGAGGAAAAAGUGCACCAGCAUAAUAAAAAAUGUAGUAGCAAAAGAAGAAAAGGACAACUUGGCAAAUAAGUUAAAAGUAAACCCGUUUUCCGUAAUGAUCGACGAGAGAACAGAUAUCGGCCUCAAUAAGCAUAUGUGCAUCCAGGCCAGGUUUUACGACGAUGCUCUCUACAAGACUUUUAAGGAAUUAAUUUUAUCCCUAGGAUUUCCAUUUAAUAACAUAAUUGCGUCGAUCGCUUUAUGCCAUACCGUUCAACUACUCGUUACAAUGUGCUGCCACCGCACUUAUCAAGGAGCUCAACUUUGCUGUCCAGUUGUAAUAACACCAUACUAUAAAUCACACUACCUUUGCAACACUCGUCCAGAAGCCAGUCCGCCGUAAUAACGCUGGUCCGCUGAGAGGUGGCGCAGAGGAUGAAAGCGGCGACCAGGAUUAUCUGAAAUGGAUGGUGGAAAGCGGAAGCAUAGAGUAAUUAAUUAGCAUUGUUUAUGAAGCUGGAAUCUCAAUGAACUCCAUUUAUGCUCUUUGUGAUCAAUUCGAAGUUUUAUUAUUGGCAUAAAGCAAACCAAAUAAAAUGUGCAUCAGAAGAACUACGAGGAGUUCGCGGCAAUAUACACCCGAUGUUCACUUAAACUUGGUGCGUCAGCAUGCGGCCGUUAUGGAAGAGCUGAUCGGAGAAACCAAUAGACAAACGUAUUUACUUCACUCUAAAUUAACUAUUUUUUAUUUGAAUAAAAAAUGCGCAAAUAAAACUUUGCGCUAAAUUAGUUUUUAAACAAA